rnacentral:tRNA from 1 species
GCCGGGGUGGCAGAGCGGACAAAUCCAACGGAGUAACAAUAUAUCUGCUGUGGAGUCUAUACGCGGCAGGCUCGAGACCUGUUGUCCCUUUUGGGACUCCUGGGUUCGAAUCCCAGCCCCGGCG